GGGAUUUUUCCAGGGAAACAAGACAGGGAAAGGUAUUGUAGGCAGGAAAGUCAAGAAUAUGUGCAACAGGCUGGGCACAGCGGCUCAUGCCUGUAAUCCCAGCAGUUUGGGAGGCUGAGGUGGGCAGAUCACCUGUGAUCAGGAGUUCAAGACCAGCCUGGCCAACAUGGUGAAACCUCAUCUCUACUAAAAAUACAAAAAUAAGCUGGACGUGGUGGCACAUGCCUGUAGUUCCAGCUACUCAGGAGGCUGUGGAAGGAGAAUUCCUUGAACCUAGACAGUGGAGGUUGCAGUGAGCCAAGAUUAUGCCACUGCAUGAUCUGGGCUACAGAGCAAGACUUCGUCUUAAAAAAAAAAAGAAUAUGUGAAAGAGGAGCACGUGGAUUUGGGUUGGUGGUGCCAGUGAUAACCUACAUUACCUUUUCUCUUGGAAGGCCUUGAUAUGCACCGUGGAAAUGCACCUUGUAGGAGCGUGUCAUGACUAGCCUCUGUUAGAUUCAUGGAACAUGGAAAUGGGGGAUACUUCCUGGGAUAAAUGCUGCCUUAGAUGUUUCCCCUUUCUGCGGACAUUCAUUC
rnacentral:lncRNA from 13 species